AACAGUUUCAUGAUAAAUUGCUGAUAUUUUUUUAGUCAGGGGAGUACAGUAAUGCUGUCAAUAUCACCGUGGAUUUUCUUCCCACUGUACAACAUGAACUUUAUUUUUUACAGGUACGUAUGAUAUGAUUUUAAAUUCUGUAACUGAAUGACUGCAUCUCAUAAAACACCCCGCCACCCCCAAAGAUCUGAACUAACAGUCACACUUGACUUUUCUCCCCUGUUAGCAACAGCUUUCCUGAUAAAUACUUUACUAUAGAAAAAUGUACUUACUAAUUUAUGACUGAUAAAUGUGGGUUCUCCCACCUAGUUAUCUGAAGAUAAAUGCACUAACUGUAAGUCACUCUGGGUAAGAGCAUAUGCUAAAUGACUAAAAUGUCAAAUGUAAAAAUUUACAAACUCAUAAGAUGUUGAGAAUCCAGAUUUACAGUAUUAUUUAUAUAUUAUGUUAUACAGAUGGUGAUGUGAGAGAGUCCUGUCCAUCCCGUGACUGAAGGAGACUCUGUGACUCUGACCUGUACAUUUAGAUAUCAGGAAACAAAUCCUAACCCCAAGGCUGAUUUCUACAAAGAUGGAAUACUCAUCAAGAAUGAGACCACAGGAGAGAUGACCAUCCCUACAGUAUCCAAGUCAGAUGAAGGAUUCUAUAAGUGUAAAUCUGGUAAAGGAGAAUCACCAGAGAGCUGGGUGACAGUGAGAGUCCCUCCAGGUUCCGUUGUCUCCAUCUCUCUGACCAGGCUGCUGUGUGGUCUACUGGUGGUGUCUCCAUUUCUACUGGUGUCCAUCGUGCUGACGGUGAAAUGCUGCAGGGCUCGAGGUUUGUGUUCAACAGUCACAUCUCCUCAAGACCAGAUACCAUGUGAUGAUGUCAUUGAACAGAACGAAUCAUCAGUGUGAUCAUUACAGUAUGAACUGUAAGCUGAACAACCACUUUUCUGAUUGUUAAGUUUUUACCGUUGAUAUAUGAUAGUGUUUACUGAGUUUAAUAUCACUGAAUGGAAUUUCACAAAUGCUGAAUGUUAUGAUUUUGUAAGUUUACAUUUUCAGCUUUUGGAGGAUCGUAUGCUUUCCUUUGUUAUUGUUGAUUGAUGUAGAUAUAUUUUUUUUAAUAUUACACUUACCUGUCUUUAUUUCAGUUUGUUAAUUAAACAAGAGUGUAGUGCCUUUUUUAAUUUAAAAGUCGAAUUUGUAUAUGUUGUAUUUUAAAUACCGUAAUGCUUUUUAAAUGCAGGUGGAUAUAUACAGUACGUGAAUCUUUUCUGUUUUUUAUUCUAAUUUAAAUACUAAAGAUGUGUUUAUUCUUGAUUGGCCGACCUGCUCUAACAGUUAAGAUAGAACACGUAGCUAUAGUUUGUUAUUAAAAAUGUACACUUACAUAAUGCAGCUUUAAUGCUUAUUUUUAUAUUAAAGGUAGACUCAGCAAAAUGACAUUGCCACAAGAGCCACCGCAGAUAUUGAGAUGAGCGAGAUGCACGACUUCACAGGCACACACAGUAUCUGCACAUAUGCACGGGUUCACUUCAUGCUGUUCAGUCUGGAAGUCACAGGAUCGAAACAGAGGAGCAGUUGAGUAUCAUGCUUCAACGCUCUUAGUUGUUGUGGAAAUUGAACCACUAUGCAGUUUACUUUCUACAUCUACGUCAUAUCGCUGAGUCUACCUUUAAACUCCACUUACUUUUGACUUAUAUUCAUUUUGAAAUACUGUCUACUAAGUAUUUUGUAUUAAAAAAAUGCUUUACAGCAGAUAUACAUUUUCAACAUGUUAGUAUUUUGUAAAAUGGUUUCAGUAGUUGUUAAAAGAUGAGUGUUCCACUAUGGAACUUAAAAUGGAGAAGGUGUGAUGUAUGAAUUCUCAUAUAUCAAACAAUAUAUAAUAACUUGAUUUAAGGACAUAUUCAUUUUACUCUCUGUAUUUCUGCGUUGAAACAAUGCAUUUACAUCUUGAAUGUUCCUAUACAUUUCUUAUUACGUAAAGCAACACUUUCUAACUAAAUCUAUAUGCAAUAUAUUGCUGUCAGUCUUCUGUAAACCACAUUCAGAUUGACUUGUACUGAUAUGAACCCAUACAGAAGUGUUCCAUGUCUGUACUAUUAUGAUGAGAUAGAGAGAGGAAGGAAUAAGAGGGCACCCCCAGUAGACUGAGGGCUUAUGCUGUUGCUAUGUGACCAAUGACCAUAUUAGUUUCUAUAUUGUGAUCCACUAGAAUGUGGAGUAGUUACAGGCCUGUCCCUGAAGGGGGCGAUAAGAAACCCCAGAUGUUUACCUGGCUAUACCCACUCAAGGUGAAGUCUGACUGCUUUUCCCUGGUAACCUUUCUCUCUCUAUUUAUGUUUGCUCCUUCACAUGUUGUACAAGUGUCACACACUCUACAAAAAUACACUUUCAAAUACUUAGAGGUAAAUAGUUGGUAAAAAUGUGAAGAUGCUAAAAUGUUUGGAUUCAUGUAUUCAGCACAACAAUGUAAAUAUGUGAAUCAAAAUGAAACUUAACACUUUAUCCUGGAAACCCUUUUGUCGGGUCGCUCAAAAAGUUACAUUUUGCAGCUUUAACAGUAUUGCACUUUCCAUGUAGCCUACUUUUGGCCUGCUUUUCACCUAACCACCAAUCAAGCAACAUUUUUAACUAGUUUUUCAAAUCCUGUUUAUUUUGCACUGAAAAUAUAGGUCAAAUUAAGAUCCUACACCUGUAUGUGAUGUGAGAGUGAGUGACCAUCCUACAUUGAUGUUGAAUCUCUGUGAGAACCUGAGCUUGUAAAGCAUAUGGUGUGGUGGUGUGGUGUGCAUUUAACCAGGUCACCACUCAGGAACUAAAGAGUAGCGCUAACUCAGUGGUUGCAAAAUGUGCUGUAAAUGACAAUGAAUACAACAUGCUAUAUUUGUUGGAUGUGUUCUAGUAUCAAGUUGUGAUUAUUGUAAAUGGUUGAGAGUUCCGUCACUACAGUUAUAGUAAACUGAACUAAGAGAUUGAAUGGUGUUUGAGAUUUUGGUCUCUGUCCUUUCUUUGUAUCCAGAACAACAGGUUGAUGUUUAUUGGGAUGAAUCUUUUGUUGGAGGCAGAGUUGAGCAAUAUCCACUAGAUUGGCCAGCUGCAAAGUCUAAAUUGUCUACAUAACGAAAAAAUACAUGAAAACAAAAAUACGAUUUUUAUCCUAAUUUAGGGUCUGGCAUAAAGUUAGCAAUGUGGUAAAAGUUAGGGUUAGGUUUAGGUUAAAAAUCAAAAUCAGAUUUUAUGACUUUGUGGCUGUGCCAGAUAGUGACUACACUGCAGAGCUGCCUCCAGUACAUGAGUCAUCCUAAUACAUACAAACCUGCUGCAGAACAUGUCAAUGGCCAUUUCAAGCUGCAGUGGUAUACGGCAGUGGUAUACGGCUGAGGAAUGGUGCUAGAGUAAUUAAUGAAUGUACUUUGUUGGUUUACACUGACAUUGUUAACAAACAUUGUCAUAAAAUAGCAGUUUAUUUUGUGUUAUGAUGGGAUAAGACAGUGGCACUACCCUUAUGGAAAAAACACAUGCAUUUCACAUGUGAUCUCAUGUUAUCACAUGAUCUUAUGAGAAGUUACUGUGAUAACAAAAUGUAAAGUAUAUUGGAUUUAUAUAGAGCUUUUCUACUAACUGAGUUACUCAAAACGCUUUACAUAGUAGGGGGAAACUGGUUGAUGCAAGACAAAAUUGAUUACAUUAUUUAUUUUUCUCACCCAUCUACACACAAUACCCAUAAUGAGAAAGUGAAAACAUGUUUUUAGAAAUGUUUGCAAAUGUAUUGAAAAUGAAAUACAGAAAUAUCUUAAUUACAUAAUUAUUCACACCCUUGAGUCAUUACUUUAUAGAAUCAACUUUGGUAGCGAUUACAGCUGUGAGUCUUUCUGGGUAAGUCUCUAAGAGCUUUCCACUCCUGGACUGUGACAUAUUUUUCCAUUACUCUUUUUAAAAUUAUUCAAGCUCUGUAAAUUGGUUGCUGAUCAUAACGAGAAAAACAUUUUCUGGUCUUGCCAUAGAUUUUCAAGUAGAUUUAUGCCAAACUGUAAUUUAGACAAUCAUUCACUGUCUUCUUGGUAAGCAACUCCAUUGUAGAUUUGGCCUUGUGUUUUAGGUUAUUGGCCUGCUGAAAGGUGAAUUAAUC